CGCUUUCAGUCUGACACAGCUACUUUGCAUUGCAAAGCAGCGGAGAAUGGAUGAUGGGAGCAUCCACAGACUAUUCUGGGUCCAGGAGAACUGGGGGCUGUCAAGUAGCUCUGGGAGUGCUGGACAAGCCCCCAGCAUGACGAAAACGGGUGUGUGGAUCUCUGGCUCUGCAAUAGUGAAGCCCCACCCCGCCAAAUAACCUCGGACACCCUGGGCCCCCACCUGCCUGAAUCUAGCACUGUGCAUUGAGCACUCUCAAUCAGUGCUUUGUCAGCUACCGAACAGUCUGAAUUCACAGCAAGCAGUCAGGAAGGAUUCAGUCAGUAGAACUAAAACAAAUUGUUACAAAAACAUCUACAAAUUGCCCAUGAAGUGAAUACAGGUGCUGGUAAUAAAAAUAGAAAGUCUGGAGAUAGCAGCGAUUGCCCUUCUACAACUGGGGAUGCCACAUGCACAACUGACACAGCCAGUGAUUUGCUGACCUGAUCAAACAGAUGGAAUGGGGUGGCACUGGCAGGGUAAGACCAUACUUUCACUGGGCUAAAACAAGGAAAUAUGAAAGUCCUGCAAUCUUGAUAAACUAGGCACAGGUGAAGGGUAAUAAAAAAAGACAGUAUUUGGCCUGGAUUCUAGUCUACACUGAGACCAAAAACAAUGCUACUUCUACAGAAGAUCCUCAGUCAGGAGCAGAGGAAAAAGCUGUUGCAGUUCAUUUGAUAAAUGUGGCGCAAAAGAACCACCGUAAUAGAACACCCACUCCAAAACAAUGUAUAAGAGACUUAAUAUAAGCAUACUAUAAUAUGUAAGUAUACUAUAAUAUUUUUC